AGAGAAUCACUUGAACCCGGGAGGCAGAGGUUGCAGUGAGCUAAGAUUGUGCCACUGCACACUGCACUCUAGCCUGGGUGACAGAG
rnacentral:pre_miRNA from 1 species